rnacentral:rRNA from 1 species
AGUGAACGCUGGCGGUAGGCCUAACACGUGCAAGUCGAACGGCAGCACAGUAAGAGCUUGCUCUUACGGGUGGCGAGUGGCGGACGGGUGAGGAAUACAUCGGAAUCUACUUUUUCGUGGGGGAUAACGUAGGGAAACUUACGCUAAUACCGCAUACGACCUACGGGUGAAAGCAGGGGAUCUUCGGACCUUGCGCGAUUGAAUGAGCCGAUGUCGGAUUAGCUAGUUGGCGGGGUAAAGGCCCACCAAGGCGACGAUCCGUAGCUGGUCUGAGAGGAUGAUCAGCCACACUGGAACUGAGACACGGUCCAGACUCCUACGGGAGGCAGCAGUGGGGAAUAUCGGACAAUGGGCGCAAGCCUGAUCCAGCCAUACCGCGUGGGUGAAGAAGGCCUUCGGGUUGUAAAGCCCUUUUGUUGGGAAAGAAAAACAGCAGGUUAAUACCCCGCUGUUCUGACGGUACCCAAAGAAUAAGCACCGGCUAACUUCGUG